rnacentral:lncRNA from 12 species
AUGAUGAGGCAAGUUCCAUUAUUGGAUCUCCCAGCCUCCACUGCCACCCCUUUCGUGCGCGCUCAUGCAUUGAGUGCCAACUGUAUGCCAAGCACAGUUUGCUUGGCGCUACGGAUUCGAAGAGGAUGGGACAUCAUCGCAGGAGCCUGGACUAUAUUCAGAUUCACCCCGAUUCCAACUCUUGUGCUCAGCAUUACCUCCACCGUGGAAAUAAUUUUGCUUCGUUGUCCCAGAGCAGCCCCGGCGGGCGCCUGUGUUGUCAGCCGCUGCAGGAGGAGUGAUGGCCAAGGUGUUGACAAGCUCCUAAUUGGAAGGUACGAGGUGCCGCCAGAGAUCAGCUAUAAAAGGUAUCUUUGGGCCGGGGUGGGCUGCUAAUGCUGCAAGAGACUCGGGGUGAGGCCUGGUGAGCUGUCACCCUGGGAUGGGGCCUGGCCCCGCAAACCGACGAUGCUGGUGGUGGGAGGCAGCCGACAGACAAGGCCCAUGGAAACAGGCAUUUCGGGGAAUGGCAACAUUCACGUGCACACCAGGACUUCAGGAGCCAGCGAGCAUGCCAGGGGGUGGAGCACCAGGAAAGGAGAGCCUGGAAUGGCCCAGAAGCCCGGGAUCAAAGAGGCAGGGCAGGAGAGCAGCUGAUGAGAGCCUGGUGCUAAAGACAAAGGGAAAAGAGCCACAGGAGUCUGCUUUAUUCAGCACGCUCAACUACUUACGAGUGACUUCUGUGAGCCUAUAAUUGUUCAGAGCCCUGAGGGCUUCGAAAGAAGAACCAGCUUAGAAUUUAAUGUCUAAUUAGGAGGCGAUCAGAUCCAGGCACUGAAAUUAUUGCCGGAUGAACCAAUCCGGCGCGGGUGUUGUGCAAUAUUGGCGAUGGUGCAAGCUCUUCCCUUAUUGUCUCAUGUAACCCAGCCAACAACCCUGCAACGUGGGUACAGGUGUCCCCAAUUUAGAAAUGAGGGUGCAGAGGUUCAGAAAGACUGCACCUCUUAUCUCAGCGUGGCUGGCUGGUAAGUGGCUGAGCCAGGAUUCAAAUCCAGGUCUGGGUGAGCCUCGAAACUUUUGGGUCCAGCCUGCAGCAUCCCUUGACCGAAAUAAUAAAUACAGCGCUGCCCUCA